AACCGUUAUCGUUGUUUGCGAGCACUUCGGGUGGGAACUCCAGGGAGACGGCGGGUGAUAAACCGGAGGAAGGGGGGGAGGACGGCAAGUCAUCAUGGGCCUUACGAGUAGGGGUACACACGGGGUACAAUGGCAUAUACAGAGGGCAGCAAGACGGGAGGGGGAGGGAAUCCCACAAAGUAUGUGGGGUGGGGAGUGGGGUCUGCAACUGGACUCCAUGAAGUCGGAAUCGGUAGUAAUGGGGGAUCAGAAGCCACGGGGAAUAGGUUCGGGGGCCGGGACACACCGCC
rnacentral:rRNA from 1 species